AACUUCGAAAGGAGCCAGGGGUCCAGGAGACAUGAGGGAAUGCCUUUCAUCCCAUGCAUGUUCUCUGUGAAGAAAGGCUCACAGCCAUCAACACAAGGCUGCACCUACUGUCCACACGGUUUGUAUGAGUUGACAGUGAGAAAUGAAAAGGCCCAUGGGAGUGGACAUGAAUUCAAUUCUCAGACCCACAUGGAACUGUUCACAAAUGCCCAAAACUCUAGCUUCAAGACAUCUCGUACCCUCUUCUAGCCCAAAGAGAAGCACGAGCUUACCUGUACAUAAUAUGAAUAAUCCAUUCUGCAGCAAGCAUGACAAUUUCCCUUGAAAAUAACUCUGUGAUUUCCAUCAGAUCAGGCAAUUGUUUAAAACUCAUCAUGAAAGUUGAGAGUUUCUGGUCCCAUACUUCAUUUAUUUUUCAUGUUAUUAAUUAUUGUAAUAAAUCAGCAGAAACAAUAAGA
rnacentral:lncRNA from 1 species